rnacentral:lncRNA from 1 species
CCCACUUGGACAGAAAUGAGAUUUGAAAGUCAAUUGCAGAGCUACAGUUAAGUAGAGAUGAUUAAGUAUCAGUGGUGUAACAUCUAAAGCCAAUCACAAUGUCAGUCUGCAUAUAAAUAUAAAUCAAAGCAUUCACAAUGGCAGUCUGCAUAUGUAUGCACACUACUGGUUCCUUCUCCCAAAAAUGUGGUGCAUCCACAUACAAUCUUUUAGUCUUUUUAUAAAUCCAAAUCCAAAUAAGAAACAAGGAGAAGAAAAAAUAUCAAACUAAUAUUUCUCCAACUCUUGUUCGUAU